CUCUCCCUCUUAGCUGCGUCCUCUCUCUCUCCCCGACCUCUCUUUCUCGUACACUCUUUCUUCUUCCCUCUGCAACCACCGGAAAACACCAUUUCCGGCCACCACCUCUAGUCACCGCCACCACCAAUUGACGCAGCUCCUGUAUCUGACCUCAACCCGAGCCCAGCACCGCCAUGCAUCGUCUCCAGCCUCCACAAGCGACCACCAAACCUGCGACACCACUGCUAUCUUUACUCCUCCGAUCUCCAGUCGUUGAUUCACACCACCGCUGUCAGAAAUUGAAGCACCAAGCCGUAGAGUGCAAAACCCGAACCAUAGCCUCAAACUUCAACACCGGAAAACGUCGUGUAAGCUCGUCGAAACUCGAGGCUCUGCAUGCCUUCGUUCUCCAAUCUCCAGUCCAAAACAAGCCAAACCACCACCAUACAUGGAGUCAGCAUCUUUCCCUUGACCAAAACCCCAUAACCCCGAUCUCCGACUUCGACCGGAGCCGCCGCACGCGCUACACGCGUCGCCGCUGGCACGUCAGCCACCACAGCGCUACCGCUCAUGGAUGCCGGAUCUCCAAAUAGUUUCGAUUAGGUAAACUUUGUGUCUCUCCUUUGAUUGGAGCUUCUGGUUUGACAUGAAAUGAAGUCCCUAACUCUAUCAUUUAAUUGGAAUUGUGUGAGGUUAUGUGGAGUCUGCGAAUUUGGGAUUUUUGGAGAGGAGGAGCUCUCGAGUCAGUUUCGAGUGAAAUGGGAAAUGGGAACAGAAUGAAUGAUGAUGAUGGAAAUGCAGCCAUGCUGAAUCGAAUCUCUGUGGAAAAGAAGUUGUGGACUCGAGCGUGUGCACAUGGAUUUGGACAAAUGAUUGAAAGUCGGGAACGAACCCAAAUGUGGACGAGCACUCCAUAUCCAGUGUGCAGGUUUCGAGCAUGUGGUCGGGAAGCAUACAGGGGAGGCACAUGACCCGGCUUGGCGCAUUUCUCUUUAACUUUAUCAAAAGAAGGUUUUGGUCCUUAAUCGGACUUUGAAGUCACUAUUUAUUUACUUUUUAAUUGUUUCCCAUUCGCUUAUUUACAAAAUUUCGAGAGACCCGCAACCCUGGGGCACGUCUCUCAUACUUAUAUUUACUUAGUGAUUUGUUAUUUCCCAAAUUGGGCUCCUAUUGUAAGCCCAAAUCCUUUAACCCACUUUAAAUUCCGCUAUUGAGAAUAUGUUGUUCGGUUGCUAGAAUGAUUUGUCCAAGAAAGUGUUUUGUAAACUAACAGUCUGAACCCAAAAGGCCUUGCGAUUUUCGGGUUGAUGAGUUAUCGGGAUGUCAUUAGUAACAUGUCGGUUUCUCAUCAACUCGGGGUCGCAACGCUGUGGGACCCCUCUCUCGGGUCACCACAUUGUUGCUAGGUCAAGUGCUGAAGAUGAGUUUCGAGGUAUGGCCCAUAGAGUUUGUGAGAUGUUGUGGAUUCGUAAUGUGUUGAAAGAUUUGGGUUUUAAACUCAAGAAGCCUAUGGACUUGCACUGUGAUAGCAUGUCUGCUAUUGAAAUUGCUCGUAAUCCUGUACAGCAUGACCGGACUAAGCAUGUGGAAGUGGAUCGACAUUUCAUUAAGGAAAACCUGGAUAGAAAAAUUAUCUGUUUCCCUUUUGUGUACACAGAAGAUCAAUUAGCAGAUGUUCUUACGAAAGGAGUGUCAAGGAAAAUGUUUGACAACUCAAUUGACAAGUUGGGCAUGAUUGACAUCUAUGCACCAACUUA